CACGCCGUAAACGAUGGGCACUAGGUGUGGGAGGUGUCGACUCCUCCCGUGCCGAAGCUAACGCAUUAAGUGCCCCGCCUGGGGAGUACGGCCGCAAGGCUAAAACUCAAAGGAAUUGAC
rnacentral:rRNA from 1 species